rnacentral:pre_miRNA from 1 species
GAUUUCAACUGAAAAAGUCAUCAACGACAAAGUUGUAUAACUCAUCAAGAUCUAUAACUUUUAUUUUGGUCAUUUCUUCAUCCGAUAAAGUGAUAGUAACAUUGUUUACAAAAUUUACAUCUAUGUCAUUUGGUUCUAUAAACUAUAAGAGAGAUAUGUAAACUUUGUGAACAAUACUACUAACACUUUAUCGGACGAAGAAAUGUCCAAAAUAAAAGUUGUAUGUCUUGAUGAGCUCUACAACUUUUAUGUUCUUGACUUUUUCAGCUGAAAUU